AAGGCAGCAGGCACGCAAAUUACCCACUCCCGGCACGGGGAGGUAGUGACAAAAAAUAACGAUACGGGACUCAUCCGAGGCCCCGUAAUCGGAAUGAGUACACUUUAAAUCCUUUAACAAGGAUCCAAUGGAGGGUAAGUCUGGUGCCAGCAGCCGCGGUAAUUCCAGCUCCAUUAGCGUAUAUUAAAGUUGUUGCGGUUAAAAAGCUCGUAGUUGGUUCUGCGUCCCAUGCUGUCGGUUCACCGCCUGACGGUGCAACUGACAUGUCGUGGGAUGUCCUGUCGGUGGAGGCCUUGACCCACUGCGUGCGGAGGUUUUUCCGAAGCACGUUGCUGCGAGUCAAGGCCGCCGAUUCAAUCCUGCCGCGGUGCUCUUCAUUGAGUGUCGAGGUAGGCCGACACGUUUACUUUGAACAAAUUAGAGUGCUCAAAGCAGGCUAAUAACGCCUGGAUAUUGGUGCAUGGAAUAAUGGAAUAGGACCUCGGUUCUAUUUUGUUGGUUUUCGGAACCCGAGGUAAUGAUCAAUAUGGACAGGCGGGGGCAUUCGUAUUGCGGCGUUAGAGGUGAAAUUCUUGGAUCGUCGCAAGACGCACUAGAGCGAAAGCAUUUGCCAAGUAUGUCUUAGUUGAUCAAGAACGAAAGUUAGAGGUUCGAAGGCGAUCAGAUACCGCCCUAGUUCUAACCAUAAACGAUGCCAGCCAGCGAUCCGCCGAUGUUCCUCCGAUGACUCGG
rnacentral:rRNA from 1 species